ensembl:lncRNA novel transcript
AUGCUGUGUCCCUGCAUACAGGAGUCGACCUUUGAGACCUGCUUGUUCAUGGCUGUUUCACAGAUGUCGAAGUGGAGGCUCAGCAGGGUUGGAGGUUCCCGGAGUCUCCCAGCUGAAAUGGAAGUGCUUGGUGAGGUUUGGUGUGUCCGAGCCGAAGAGCAGCCAAUGACAGGCCUGGGGAUCGUCUGGCACAGCCCACUUCUUGACAAGGCCUUGGAAACUUGGUCUCUGCAGCAGCAACCGGAUUUCAGCCUGGGCCUCGGACACCUCGGCCUGGGACUGUACAUCUUGGCCUCUUACCUACUGUGUCCGCGUCAGCCUCCCUCACAGCCUGAUGGCCCCUGCGGCAGCCCCAACCCGGUUUCAGGGGCUAAGAAAACUACAGUUGCAUGAACGGGUGGAGGUGAGUGGGAGGCAGAAGCGGCGGGGAGAACCAGUCUGUUCCGAGAUCUCUGGACCAACCAGUGGAUCCUGAUGGUCAGCCUUGUCUAGAGCCCCUUCCAGCGUGCAGGCCAGUCCUCCUGGCAUUCUUCUAAUUACACCGAGCUGUGAGUUA